UACGUAGGGGGCUAGCGUUGUCCGGAAUCAUUGGGCGUAAAGAGCGUGUAGGCGGCCCGGUAAGUCCGCUGUAAAAGUCAAAGGCUCAACCUUUGAAUGUCAGUGGAUACUGCCGGGCUAGAGUCCGGAAGAGGCGAGUGGAACUCCUGGUGUAGCGGUGGAAUGCGCAGAUAUCAGGAAGAACACCAACGGCGAAGGCGACUCGCUGGACAAGUAUUGACGCUGAGGUGCGAAAGCGUGGGGAGCAAACAGG
rnacentral:rRNA from 1 species